rnacentral:rRNA from 1 species
GUGGCAAUGAUGCAGAGGUCACACCCGUUCCCAUCCCGAACACGGAAGUUAAGCUCUGUAAUGCUGACGAUACUUGGCGGGUGACUGCCCGGUAAAAUAGGUCGCUGCCG